rnacentral:rRNA from 1 species
GUGCAAUGGCAUAAGCCAGCUUGACUGCGAGCGUGACGGCGCGAGCAGGUGCGAAAGCAGGUCAUAGUGAUCCGGUGGUUCUGAAUGGAAGGGCCAUCGCUCAACGGAUAAAAGGUACUCCGGGGAUAACAGGCUGAUACCGCCCAAGAGUUCAUAUCGACGGCGGUGUUUGGCACCUCGAUGUCGGCUCAUCACAUCCUGGGGCUGAAGUAGGUCCCAAGGGUAUGGCUGUUCGCCAUUUAAAGUGGUACGCGAGCUGGGUUUAGAACGUCGUGAGACAGUUCGGUCCCUAUCUGCCGUGGGCGCUGGAGAACUGAGGGGGGCUGCUCCUAGUACGAGAGGACCGGAGUGGACGCAUCACUGGUGUUCGGGUUGUCAUGCCAAUGGCACUGCCCGGUAGCUAAAUGCGGAAGAGAUAAGUGCUGAAAGCAUCUAAGCACGAAACUUGCCCCGAGAUGAG